UUAAUAUUCCUUACAAAGGAUCAAGCAUCCCACACUCCUUGCAGGACUCUAGCCAGCCUGAGCAUGGUACACAUGGCUCUGGCAGGCUUUGUCUUUCUUCACCUGUUCUCUCUGCCUUGCUAAAAAACCAUUCGAUUAUAUUCCUGUAGCUAGCCUCCAAGUCUAUUUCUUUAUUUGGUCACUUCCUCCUCUUGAGACUGACUAUAAAGGUCCAGCUAUCAAACUAUUGAAGUUCAGCAAUCAAAAGUCCCCUUUGGCUGUUUUAAUUUACAUGCCUAAUUAGAACUAAACACCUCAUCCUUACAGGGGGUUCCCCUUCUACCCUUUCUUUCUAAAUCACCAUUUUCCUAAGGGCCGUGUCUGUCUCCUCUCUACCCACGGGCAGUCCUUUGUUCCUCUGGGAUAAAUACCCCUCUUCCUCAUUCCCUUUCCCUUCUCUCUCAUCCUCUAACUCCUGUCUUUGUCUCCUUAUCCCUCCUCUGCACCCCGCUACCCCACCAGGGGGCAAGCAAAUCUCCUUUGUGCUGAGAACUUGGUCUUGCAGCUACCUACCUUUUCAUACUUCCCACGUGUAACAUCAAAUAACCUCUUGUUAAAGAAAAAUCUACAGUGAGUUAAGUUUAACAAAAUGUUUUCAUAUGGAAGUUUAAGGUUUUGUUUUUCAAUUUCAUGAAUAAUUUUAUUGAAAUUUUGACAGCAAUUGUAUUAAAUCUGUAAAUUGCUUUUGGUACGAUGGCUAUUUUCACACUAUUAAUCCUGAGACUGUGAGAACCAGAGGCGGUAGAUGACGAAAAGGAGACAAAAAUUUCCAGACACAAAGCAGGUGCACACAUGAACUCAAAGAGACCGUGACGGCACGCAGCGACCCUCACAGGAUGCGCAUGCCUCCACAGGCUGCACAUGCGCAGGACCGGCACAACUCAGACACAACCCCAGCAGGUGGGGUGGGAGAGCGCACAAAGUCCCACCCAAUCCAAGAAGCUCUUCACAAGUGACAGCUGAUGGCAGAGGAAAAGACAAGCUCCAAGGAGUGAAGCUACACACUUACACCUCAACACCUUCACACCUCUCGUGUUCUAAGCACAGUGUCCACAACAGUUCCAACACUGGAAGACUUGCCUGUCCAUCUGAGUACCAUCAUUAUGAGACAGCAUGUCACUGUUCACUCAGUGACAUUCCCACCUGAAUAUACAGCCUGGAAGGAGCCCCUUGCUCUUCCUGCUGAGAGACCUCCAAGAGCAAACCUGGGCUAAGCCCACAGGUCUCAGGCCCUGUGGAUGGCUCACCUGUAUGAAAGAGCUCAGAAGGCCCCGUCUGUCCAUCUGCAAGAGGUUACCCAAGAAGGGCAGGGGACGAGGUCCUGGUGGGAAGUGGCCAUGGGUCUUUGGCUGACUUUGGCUGACUAAGAAUAUCAAGAAGCCUGUGGUGAGAGCGAGAAGGAGCAGCACACUGAAUUCCAUGGUCCUGGUCUAAUCACUUCUGACUUCAGUGCACACUCCAGCAGGAUCUUUUAUGGUGAACCUGCCCUCCUACUCACUUAUGCAACUCCAGCUAUUCCCGCCUCUGUUCUCAUCAUUGUCCAGGUGUGUGAGCACCCAUACUUCCUGUUUGGGCUGCUGGUGACCUGCUCACUCCCCAUUCCUUUACCCCAACCCUAGAUGUUGGCAAUGACAUCAUGAAAUAGACACACAGGACAAAAGGGCAUUAAGAGGAACAUAUCUUGAUUUCUGCACUUGCCAGCUCAGUUUUAUCUGUUUAUUUACUCAGGCAUGGACCUGUGUGUGCUGCAUAUGUGAAGGAACAUUUCUCUUUUUUUCACUUAUUUAUUUAUUAUUUAAUUAAUUAAAUCAUUUUACAUCCUGA